AUGGUGUAUGCGGUGCCAGGGCACAUACCACCCUGCCCCCUGGCAGCAGCAUUGCUGCAUUCCAGAUACCAGAGACCCUCUGGGCUGCGAUUCACUGUGCUGUCCCAUCGCUCCCCCUUCCCAAACACAGCCUCCCACCGUGCCCUGCUCCCAGCCGGCCCCUCAUGUCCCAGCCCUGCCGCCUCCAUCCAUCGCAGCAGACAAAGCCCGGCCAGACAAAGCCCAGCCCCGGCCCUGGGCAGCCUCCUGUGCUGCACCGCACGGCGAAGGCACAUCCCCUUCUGCAGCACCGCCAGCACCCACAGCCCCAUACCUUCCUCCAUAGGCGUCGGGAGCACGUUGGCACCAGCAGUGCAGCGAGGCCACGGGCACCCAGCCCACCACCACACACCCAGCAAGCAUGCAAACGAAGGCAAGUCAUACCUUCCUCCUCUCCAGCUCCAUCAUCCUCUAUCCGUCCUGCGCCGGCCAAGCGGCACUCCGCCACGCUGCCCGUCCUCCAUGUGCCGCACGACGAUGGGCUGCAGACCCUCCUCUCCCCUCCGGCUGGCUUCGGCCCCACGCUGCCUGCUGGCAUUUUGGCAGCCUCGCCGCUCCAGCGAUGGCAUGCGUCCAUUUUUUUUUUUUCUCCUCGCUCCCUUUCACAAUCCAUCCCCAGCCUCGCUGCCUCCGGAGCCGCCUGUGGUGCCAGCGCAGGGAACUUGGCAGCGUGUAGCGUGGGGAUGCUCCGCAGCUGAGCAGAGCCCCUCUGCCAUCACCCGCCCUGGCACGGGGCCGGGGCCACGGGGGGCUGUUGUUGUUCCCAGCACUGCUGCCAAAAGCCAAACAGGGGGGGAAAAAAAGGAAAAAACGCAGAGCGAGGAUCUGGCAGCGGUGCCAUCGCCGCGCGCAGGGGACCUUUCCUUUUGGCACAUCCUCAUCCCUCUCUGGAGCACCCCGGUGCCACGUGGGGAGGCUCGGCCCCAUCUGUCCCCACGUCCCCAUGCGUACCCCACACCGAUGAGCAGGAGGCGACGACGGCAGCAGAGCCGUGCGGCGACGCUGCGUGGUGAGCACGGCUCCCAGACACACCUCUUACCCAGCAUCCACCUGCUGCGAGAGGGGGGCCCAGGAAAUUGGGAAGGAGAAAGCGGGGAGAGGCUCUGUGCCAAUGGGUGGGAGGUUUUGGGGUCCCUCCCGGCUGCGAUGUGUGGCCUCUAUGGCCUUGUGCCGUGUGGUGUCCACAUGCCGUGCCCCAGCUGUGACCACCAGCCAUCAGUAGGGCAGGUGAAGGCACUGCGACCCUCCGUGCCUCUCCAGUUUUCACCUUUCUGCCCAAAAUUCCUGGUCUUUGCAGCUUUUUGGAGAUGGAUGCAGCCAGAGCUAGAGCUUGGCUUCGUCUGA
rnacentral:lncRNA from 1 species